rnacentral:rRNA from 1 species
UACGUAGGGCGCAAGCGUUGUCCGGAAUUAUUGGGCGUAAAGAGCUCGUAGGCGGUUUGUCGCGUCUGCCGUGAAAGUCCGGGGCUCAACUCCGGAUCUGCGGUGGGUACGGGCAGACUAGAGUGAUGUAGGGGGAGACUGGAAUUCCUGGUGUAGCGGUGAAAUGCGCAGAUAUCAGGAGGAACACCGAUGGCGAAGGCAGGUCUCUGGGCCACUACUGACGCUGAGAAGCGAAAGCAUGGGGAGCGAACAGG